rnacentral:antisense_RNA from 1 species
AGCACAGGUGAGACGUGGUCUUGUAACACAGUGGUUAAGAAUGUGACUUUGGAGCCAGCCUGCUAGGGGCUGAAUUCUGACUCAGCCAUUUAUUAACUGUGUGACCUUAGGUCAUAGAAUUUUCCACACUCCUUGACGGAGGUUCUUAACCCUUAUCCAUCAGCAUUCUCAGACAGCACCUCCGGUUAGGGACAGUAUCUGACCGUCCGACAUCCCUGCAGCCCCCAUGCUGUCACACAGACUCAGCCUCAGGUAGAUGGUUUCCGUAGAUGGUGGCUUUCUUUGGACCCUUGAUAUCAACCAGUUACUAUUUGACUCUUCUGCAGAACCCCAUGUUGACCCCUGCUUUGAGGUGGCAGCGUUAACACUACUCUUUGUUAUAAGCUCUCGUCUGGGGCAACUCAGGAGAACCCAGAGACAGACUCCCAGACUUGGCCAGAGGCUGAUGCCGACCCCUUCCAGCUCUCACGGUAACCAUGAGGCCCCUGCGUGUUUCUGUUGUGGAGGUCCCAGAGGGAACUGUGUGGACGGACACAGCCUGAAGGGCCAUCUGCCCCAAGCCACAGC